UCAUCUGCAACUUAAUUGUUGCCUUGUUCAUGCCUGUCCUUGUUCUCAUCUAUAAGGCAGCAAUUGCAGUAUCUAAGAAUUUCAAUCAAUGCCAACAAAUGCCUCUCAAUAUUAUUUGUCUAUCAGCUUCAAUAUACAUUGGCAAAUCCCAACAACACGAGGCAUAGUUGCUAGAGCACAAAAAACUCAUCAACUGUAAAGGUGGCUUGCAUCCGAUGAGACUUGGUUCUGCAAGUACAAAAGCUUCAUUUUUGGAAUUUUAAAGAUUUUGUCAUAAAUCAGAAUGCAGAGAGCCGCACCUAAGCUUUGUAAACCUCCAAAUUCAUAAUUUUAGAUUGUCUGGGCAGACAUAGGCUUCGUAAAACACAGUAUUCUUUUUAGGUUCUAGCAUUUCACUCUGUUCAUUCUUCCAAAAUAUUUUAGAGGUUUUAUAAUGAUGUGAAGAAGAUCU